GAAUUUUGCACAAUGGGCGCAAGCCUGAUGCAGCGACGCCGCGUGGGGGAUGACGGCCUUCGGGUUGUAAACCCCUUUCAGGAGGGACGAAGCGAAAGUGACGGUACCUUCAGAAGAAGCCCCGGCCAACUACGUGCCAGCACCCGCGGUAAUACGUAGGGGGCGAACGUUGUCCGGAGUUAUUGGGCGUAAAGAGCUCGUAGGCGGCUCAGCAAGUCGGCCGUGAAAACCCGGGGCUCGACCCCGGGACGCCGGUCGAAACUGCUGUGGCUAGGGUCCGGUAGAGGAGAGUGGAAUUCCCGGUGUAGCGGUGAAAUGCGCAGAUAUCGGGAGGAACACCAGUAGCGAAGGCGGCUCUCUGGGCCGGUACCGACGCUGAGGAGCGAAAGCUAGGGGAGCAAACAGG
rnacentral:rRNA from 1 species